CACCAUAGUUCAAAAGCAUCAAUUAUUCAGCGCUCAGCUUUCUUUAUAGUUCAACUCUCACAUUCAUGGGAAAGAGCAGAACUUCCUUUAGUCAUUUAUUCUAGUGACUAAGAAACUUUUUGCAAUGGAAAAUUUUCUUUUUAAUUGGAUGAAAUGCCUCCAUUUUACAUAUUUUAAAAGCCUUUAAAUCGCCAAGAAUUAGAUAACCAGCACACCCGGUUGAAUUGACCACAGCUCUAGAUGGAACAAGAUUUGACAGUGAGGGCUAGAACAGGGUUUGCUUUUCCCCAAAGGUCUGCAGGGGAGUUCCUCCCACCUCCUACCCUGGCAUCCAGCUCUCCCACCUACCAACUGUUUCAGAACCCUUUCACGUGGACUAUUAUUAUAAUAAUAUGACUUUAUUAUUAUAGAACACAGAUGCAGAAAACAACAUAGGGUGAUAGCAUGAUUUAAUAAUUCUGAGGUGAGCAUCAAUAAAUAAAACUUUGUCACCCACUAUGAUGGCUAAUUGUAUGUGUCAGCUUGACUGGGCAAAGGAAUGUCCUUAUGUUAAUGCUGCCCUAAUCAUCUAGGUUGUUCAAAAGUCAUGCUCAGGAAAGGGUCUUAGGAAUAGGAUUUACUUGACUGGUAAACCAUGCUGUAUUUCUGAGUGUGUCUGUGAGGAUGCCUCUGAAAGGAAUUAGUUUUUGAAUCAGUAGACUGAGUGAAGAAGAUUGCCCUUAGCUUAUUUAAAAACUUUGAUGUGUCUUUAAGUCUUUUUUAACUUACAGAUUCCCUUUCUUUUCCUUAAAAUUUAUGUAGAAGACUCUGGGGCAUUUGACCUUUAGAACUACCCCAAAUCUGGCAUCAUCCCAUCCAGAGCCUGAAUAGAACAAGAAAGCAGAGGAAGCCUGGCUUUGCUCUCUGCUUAAGCUGAGACAACCAUCUUCUCCUGCCCUUGAGUGCUGGCACUCCUGAUUCUCAGGCUGUGGGACUCAGACAAGGACAUAUACCAUUGGUCCCUUGAUUCUCAGGCCUUCAGACUUGGGCUGGAUCACACCACUGGCCUUCCUGUUCUCUAGCUUGCACGUGGUAGAUCGUGGUACUUCUCGGCCUCCACAAUCACAUGAGUCCAUUCCUGUAAUGAAUCUAUAUGUGUGUAUUUUUAUGUAUCUAUAAAUAUCCUGUUAAUUCUGUUUCUCUGAAGAACGCCAACUAAUACACCCACUUGAAGUCCCACCUUCCCCACAAAAGUAACCAUAUCCUGACUUUACUGUAAUCAUUUAGCUGCAUUUUUUAUUGUUCUGUAUAGGUGCCUCCCUUAGCACUGUGGUUUAGUUCUUGCUCANNNNNNNNNNNNNNNNNNNNNNNNNNNNNNNNNNNNNNNNNNNNNNNNNNNNNNNNNNNNNNNNNNNNNNNNNNNNNNNNNNNNNNNNNNNNNNNNNNNUAUGUGCCUCCCUUAGCACUGUGGUUUAGUUCUUGCUCAUUUAAAAAAUUUGAGGUAUCUUUAAGUCUCUUUUAACUUACAGAUUCCCUCUCUUUUCCUUAAAAUCUAUAUAGAGGAGUCCAGGCCACUGGACCUUUAGCAUUUUCCCCAAAUCUGGAUUGUGUUGAUUGCAGUCUCUUGGUGCCGUACAACAUGUUCCCCUGACUUCUGUAUUUCCUGAAAAUUGGCAACUAUGUCCAGACACUGGAUCAGACUCAUUUUGGCAAAAUUGUAGGUAGUAUUUAGCAAGAUCAUAGGAGGUACGUGAUUAUCUGAUUGUCUCUCUUUUAGUGAUAAGAACAACUUUGAUGCUUUAAUGUAUACAUCUUUUAACUCAUUAGAGUUGCACAGUGAUGCUAUCUUAAUUCUAUCGUUUCUUUCUGUUAGUUGAAUACAUUUAUAGAGAGAUUCUUCAUUACCAUUGAUCAAUCAGUGGUAUAGUUUACAUAGGGAACUUGCCUUUUAUUUACUAACUCUAAUGAAUUAGUUCCCUGUCAUACCUCAAAGGUGACCAGUUCCUUUUUUAAAAGAUUAUUUAAGAACUCCCGGAUUUAAACAAGUCAAACAAGAGAUGGCAAGGGUGAACGUCGACAUUCUAGGAAUCAGCG
ensembl:lncRNA